CGCCGGCGAGUGGCGAACGGGUGAGUAAUGCAUCGGAACGUACCCAGUAGUGGGGGAUAACUUACCGAAAGGUAAGCUAAUACCGCAUACGCACUGAGGUGGAAAGCAGGGGACCGCAAGGCCUUGCGCUAUUGGAGCGGCCGAUGUCGGAUUAGCUAGUUGGUGGGGUAAAGGCCUACCAAGGCGACGAUCCGUAGCGGGUCUGAGAGGAUGAUCCGCCACACUGGAACUGAGACACGGUCCAGACUCCUACGGGAGGCAGCAGUGGGGAAUUUUGGACAAUGGGCGCAAGCCUGAUCCAGCCAUGCCGCGUGAGUGAAGAAGGCCUUCGGGUUGUAAAGCUCUUUCGGCCGGGAAGAAAUCGUGGUGGCUAAUACCUGCCAUGGAUGACGGUACCGGACUAAGAAGCACCGGCUAACUACGUGCCAGCAGCCGCGGUAAUACGUAGGGUGCGAGCGUUAAUCGGAAUUACUGGGCGUAAAGCGUGCGCAGGCGGUUGUGUAAGACAGGCGUGAAAUCCCCGGGCUCAACCUGGGAACUGCGCUUGUGACUGCACGGCUAGAGUACGGCAGAGGGGGGUGGAAUUCCACGUGUAGCAGUGAAAUGCGUAGAGAUGUGGAGGAACACCGAUGGCGAAGGCAGCCCCCUGGGUCGAUACUGACGCUCAUGCACGAAAGCGUGGGGAGCAAACAGGAUUAGAUACCCUGGUAGUCCACGCCCUAAACGAUGUCGACUAGUUGUUGGAGGGGUAAAACCCUUUAGUAACGUAGCUAACGCGUGAAGUCGACCGCCUGGGGAGU
rnacentral:rRNA from 1 species